rnacentral:rRNA from 1 species
UACGGGGGGUGCGAGCGUUGUCCGGAAUCACUGGGCGUAAAGGGCGCGUAGGUGGCGUGAUAAGGGUGUGGUGAAAGCCCGGGGCUCAACCCCGGGUCUGCCAUGCCGACUGUCAGGCUCGAGUGCUGGUAGGGGCAGGCGGAAUUCCGGGUGUAGCGGUGGAAUGCGUAGAGAUCCGGAGGAAGACCGGUGGCGAAGGCGGCCUGCUGGGCAGUUACUGACACUGAGGCGCGACAGCGUGGGGAGCAAACAGG